rnacentral:rRNA from 1 species
GAUGAACGCUGGCGGCGUGCCUAAUACAUGCAAGUCGAGCGAACAGACGAGGAGCUUGCUCCUCUGACGUUAGCGGCGGACGGGUGAGUAACACGUGUAUAACCUCCCUAUAUACUGGGAUAACUUCGGGAAACCGGAGCUAAUCCCGGAUAAUAUAUUUAACCGCUUGGUUCAAUUGUGAAAGACGGUUUUGCUGUCACUUAUAGAUGGAUCCUCGCCGUAUUAGCUAGUUGGUAAGGUAACGGCUUACCAAGGGAACGAUGGGUAGCCGACCUGAGAGGGUGGUAGGCCACACGGGAACUGAGACGCGGUCCAGGCUCCUACGGGAGGCAGCAGUAGGGAAUCGGCGGCAAUGGGGGAAAGCCUGACGGAGCAACGCGGCGUGAGUGAUGAAGGUCUUCGGAUCGUAAAACUCUGUUAUGAGGGAAGAACAGAUGUGUAAGGAACUAUGCAGGGCUUGACGGUACCUAAUCAGAAAGCCACGGCUAACUACGUG